rnacentral:lncRNA from 1 species
UCUUAUUCAACAAAAACACCAUCAAUACAAAGGAUCCCAUUGUUGAUAUUCUAACAUAUUUCCUAACCCAACAAGUGAGAUUUUCCCCUUGUUGAUCGGAAUUUUUAGCUGUUUCGGUUUUUAAUCUAAAAAGGGCACAAACAAACGGUCCGAGCACGACCACAUAAACUUCAUCAACUGUGCACACACGACCUAGGGGCAGCAGUUGCAGAAGGGAACCCUACUUACAAUUUUGGUCAGAUUGAAUGAUGGAUUCUGGACCAAAAGACAUUAAAUGUGCCACAUACAAUCUCCAUCUCCCCUUUCUCUCUCUACAUAGGACCCAAAAUCUGUAACCAGAUCAUCGCUCUCAUACAAUCAAUUGUGUAUGACAUAAAUGUGGGUCUUGCUGGGGUGGGUGGCUGUUCCUCUGAACCUGUUUCUGCUGCCCUGACCCGACGCUCCCACACCCCCACCCCACCCCACCCCAUUGGCUCUCAGAUUGAUAGAUAGAGCAGAUGGGCUCAAAAAUCCCCAAGAAUGAUUUAUUUGUCCUGCCUGCAAAACCCAAAUUUCAAAUUCGCAAGAUUCAACGUUAGCAGAAACUGACGAGGAAAUUGACAUGAUGGUCAUAAAUAUCGAAGAACCAAAAACCGAAAAACAGAAGAGGGCCAAGCCAGGAUCAGACCAGACUGCCGAGGACGAACAAUUUUGAGUGGACCACAUGCCCCCCCUCCUUUUCCCCUCAAUUUCUGUCGAUUUUCUC